rnacentral:rRNA from 1 species
UACGUAGGUGGCAAGCGUUAUCCGGAUUUAUUGGGCGUAAAGAGAACGCAGGCGGUCUUUUAAGUCUGGUGUAAAAGGCAGUGGCUCAACCAUUGUAUGCAUUGGAAACUGGUAGACUUGAGUGCAGAAGAGGAGAGUGGAACUCCAUGUGUAGCGGUGGAAUGCGUAGAUAUAUGGAAGAACACCAGUGGCGAAAGCGGCUCUCUGGUCUGUAACUGACGCUGAGGUUCGAAAGCGUGGGUAGCAAACAGG